rnacentral:rRNA from 1 species
GAUGAACGCUGACAGAAUGCUUAACACAUGCAAGUCUACUUGAUUCUACUUCGGUAGUUGAUGGUGGCGGACGGGUGAGUAACGCGUAAAGAAUCUGCCCUUUAGUUUGGGAUAACCUUUGGAAACGAAGGCUAAUACCGGAUAUUAUGGAGACGUCGCAUGGCGACUCCGUGAAAGCUAUAUGCGCUAGAGGAGGACUUUGCGUCCCAUUAGUUAGUUGGUGAGGUAAUGGCUCACCAAGACCGCGAUGGGUAGCCGGCCUGAGAGGGUGAUCGGCCACAAGGGAACUGGGACACGGUCCUUACUCCUACGGGAGGCAGCAGUGGGGAAUAUUGGACAAUGGGCCACAAGCCUGAUCCAGCAAUUCUGUGUGCACGAUGAAGGUCUUCGGAUUGUAAAGUGCUUUCAGUAGGGAAGAAAAAAAUGACGGUACCUACAGAAGAAGCGACGGCUAAAUAUGUGCCAGCAGCCGCAGUAAUAC